rnacentral:rRNA from 1 species
GACGAACGCUGGCGGCGUGCCUAAUACAUGCAAGUCGAGCGGACCACUUCGGUGGUCAGCGGCGGACGGGUGAGUAACACGUGGGCAACCUGCCUGUAAGACUGGGAUAACACCGGGAAACCGGUGCUAAUACCGGAUAAUCCUUCUCUUCUCAUGACGAGAAGCUGAAAGACGGUUUCGGCUGUCACUUACAGAUGGGCCCGCGGCGCAUUAGCUAGUUGGUGAGGUAACGGCUCAACAAGGCAACGAUGCGUAGCCGACCUGAGAGGGUGAUCGGCCACACUGGGACUGGGACACGGCCCAGACUCCUACGGGAGGCAGCAGUAGGGAAUCUUCCGCAAUGGACGAAAGUCUGACGAAGCAACGCCGCGUGAGCGAUGAAGGCCUUCGGGUCGUAAAGCUCUGUUGUCAGGGAAGAACAAGUACCGGAGUAACUGCCGGUACCUUGACGGUACCUGACCAGAAAGCCACGGCUAACUACGUGCCAGCAGCCGCAGUAA